GUGCUUUCUCUCACAGCAUAUGUGCUAAAAUUAGAAUGGAUAGUAAUAGAGGAUGAGCGUGACCUCUGGGCAAGGGUGACACACGAAUUCAUGAAGCAUUUUCAUCGUUG
rnacentral:snRNA from 1 species